UCUGGCAUCCCUAGGGGAUACAUUGAAAAGGUCAUUUUUUGUGUUUGCCUGUCCUGCUGUUUUGAAAAAUCACUUGAGCGUGUUCACCUCACUUAUACUGGUAAACCUUUUACUUCUGUAUUCAGUUUUUAUUUGUGCCUUGCUGCAGCCCAGAAGAAGUUGUCGGAGAGAUCUUCUUGAAGAUGGCAUCUCUGAGUUGUGGGACUGAAGCUAAAGGAAUCCUCGUGCUCAUGGCAGCAAACUGCUUCUACUCCCCUGAGAGCCACCAGGGAAUGUGGCAGAUUUAUGGUUUGGAGUGGCUCCUCACAGGAGAACAAAUCCAGCUCUGCAGCUGGAACUGCAGGAAAUCUACACAAGAUUCAUUUUACCUGUAACUUUCUCCCAGUAAAUAAAGAAGUCUGAGCUUUGAUGCAUUGGGCUGACAGCAUCAAGGAUCUUUAUCUACCUGCACACUUUGACCACUGGCCAGGCCAGUGUUGAUAAACAGAAGGGUAGCAAAGAUUAGGAGCAUGGGGGAAGCAGGAAUUGAAACCAAUACCUGUGAAAUACCAACAAUGUCAUUGUGGACACUGCUGCUGCCGGGUUUGAUGAGUGCCAGUUUUUCCAGGUGGCUGUGGCUGUUUUGAAGUCUGGAGGUGUUCAGAGCUUCUGCCCAUCAAAGUAAAUUGUAUUUCCAACAGUAAAUAAGUCAAUAAGUACCAAACCUUAGUCGGUUCUCCUUUCUUUGUUAAAAAACAAAGACAAGAAAAGACUGCAAGGAGGAUUCACAUCUCUUUUGUUUGCUGCAAUUUUGACAAGAUGACAAUUUUCCACGAUUACAUGGUUUUCUGGAAGUCUACAUUGUCAAUAUGGAUAAGCAAGUCUAUUUUCUGCUUCUGAAAAAAAGGCCAUGGCUGCUCCUGGUGAUGCAGAAUAUUUCAGCCUGGUUUGGGACUGGAACUUGACACAGCCAUCUGCACUACAAUGGUGAGGGGUUCCCUUAUUGAAAAAGAAAUAUUUCCAACUCUUCAGAGCAGCUGUGUGAGUGUUAAUAAUUUAUACCCAGAGACAUUUGCAAAUACUCCAUCCUUGUGAGAGGGACCUCUGAGAAGUGAUGCAGCCUCCUUGCCCAUGGGUGUCAGAGUCUAUUGACAACUACCAUUUAAAAAACCCAAAACAACCAAACAAAACUCAAAACAACCUCAUUUAACAUGACAGGAGCACCAAAAGACAAAUGCUGCUUUGGGGGAAAUACAACGUGCAACACUGGAGUCUCUGAGCUCCACUGUUCUCAUUAUGGGUUUAAUUUUGCAGAGAGCAUAAAGGCAGGUACACCAAAAUGCCAAGAAGCCUCUUUUAAUUAAAGCCUCUUUCAAUUAAAGCCUCUUCCUCUUUUUCUUCUUAAGAUUUGCAUAUGUAUUGAGCCAUUGAAGAAAAAGAUGAAAGGAACCACAAACACUGUUUGUACUGGCCCCUUAACAGCUGGAAGGAACCUGAAGACAUCUAAUGGAAGAUCAAUAAGUGAGAGCUCCAACCUGAACCCCAAGAAAGGUUUUUCAUAUAAAAGAACUGUUGAAGUUUUCUGAGAGGGAUGAAUCAAUUACUUAGCACACCAAAGUAAAGACUUGGCGACGUUGCCAUGGGACUGCAGGUAAGGAUUUUGUUUACUUCAGAUAAAGAUAACAGAACCUCAGUGCUUCAGUUUGCAAAUGCUCACUCUGGCUCCUAAUGUAGCUGAAAUGCUUGAAAGUUCAGCCCCUAAAGCUAAAGGAUUCUGGUUUGUGAACAGGCACUCGCUCUCUCUUUCACACUUGGACUGAUUCUACAUUCCUAAUAGGACUAAAAGUGGCAAAACCUCUAUUUUUCUUUUUAUUUGUACAUUUUUUUUUCUUUUUUAUCAAAGAUGACAAUGAGUAGGUUGGGAACAAGUGUGUCACAGAGGGCUGCUGCAAGACCCCCCUGCCCAGAGCACACGGUGAGUUUCCAGUGCAGGGUGUCCAGCUGAUGCACAGCAACACACGUGAGCAUGAGGACAAAAAAAAUACAGACAUUAAUUCUGGGCAGGGAAAUGAGGUUUUACCACCUAGAAUACAGAAGCAGAGAAAACAAACAACAGCCCAAAUAAAUUGUACAUCUGAAUGUGAUGCUCUUUGCUUGUUGGGUAAAAGUGAAAGUUUAAAAAAAAAAUUACUUUGGUAUAACGCCUUUAAGUGAAUACUUUUAAUAGAAGUCCUAAUUUGGAACUUUUCUCUGUUCACAGGGAUAUUCAGAUCUCCCUCUUCAGCCUGUUCCACCAUCUGUGUGGCUGCUUGUAUCUCUCCAAAGUGCUAGCUAGUGAGAUUUACUCACUUUCCUACAUCUGUGGCAAUUCACUUCUGAUAGCCUUUUGCAGUCACUUCCUCACAAACAACCACCUGAAGUACAGAGCAGUGGAGAGUAAAGCUGUAAGGAAAUGCUCCAAGAGGACUGUUCCUCAAAGGAGAACUCUACUAAUUUGUCACCCCAGCCCUUGGCUGUGGUUCCACAUGUUGACACCCUGAGCUGCCUAAAGGGAUGCUGCACCACUGGUGGGAGACCAGCACAAUCUGAGUGAAAAUGUCCUAAUUUCAAUUCUUGUCUCUUUUAGCAGUCAACAAAUGCAACAGGAGGCAAAACUUGGCAGCUGGCUUGAAUGAGAUGAUGAGGGAGAAGGAAAAACUGGAUGCCUUUUAUCCUAGGCAAAAUCUGAUAAAAUGGGCUUCCCCUUCAAUAUGGCAGAUAAAAGUGACAAAAAAUCUGCACUUCUUUAAGCCCCAGAGUGCUCCAAGCAGCAUCUGGAAGUUUAAAAGCUGAAAAUUAUGGCCUUUUGAUAUGAUAGAUGCCAUUCAGAUCUGAUUUACAUUUGGGCUUAGACUUUAAAUACUUGCCAUCCCAAGGAUUCAGUUCUUAGGUAUAAAAUAAGAGGAGCUAUUUGAGCUAUUUGAAUUGAAAAAAAAAAGACAAAAAAAAGAAAAGAAAAAAAAAAAAAAAGACAAAAAAAAGGCAGCUAAGAACUAUCCAUAACUAAAUCAAUAGUAAUAUGGUUUGGUUUUUUUUUUUCAGUUUGAUUUUCCAACAUAUUUACUCCCAUUUCCCCAAGCUUUGAGGGGGAAAUGCUGAAAUGCUGCUGGACUAGAUGAUUAUGUCUGGACAAUUCUGCAGUUUCAGAGGAGCUGGAAGAGCAGCUGAACUUCAGCUCUCCUGAAAUGUGUGCUUAGCUGGCUAAACCCUCCAGGAAAUAGACCUUUCCUCUGUUUUUUGCAUACCUUGCUAAGAACAUCAACACUCAUGGAUUUGACAAAAAUAACAAGGAAGGAGUGAAAUCACACAAUGAGAGCUGGUGGAGGUGUCAGGUGAACUUCCUGAUUGAACACAGCAGCCUCUGCACAUUUUCAUUCCUGGAGAACAGCAGCAGUGGUGGCUGUUGAUGGGCUGAGGCUGAAUCUUGCUCUCCAGUGGUG